rnacentral:rRNA from 1 species
UAGUCCGUACGAGCGCACCCUUGUCCUUAUUUGCCAGCACUUCGGGUGGGAACUCUAAGGAGACUGCCGGUGACAAACCGGAGGAAGGUGGGGACGACGUCAAGUCAUCAUGGCCCUUACGAGUUGGGCUACACACGUGCUACAAUGGCCGGUACAGAGGGCCGCGAACCUGCGAGGGUAAGCUAAUCUCAUAAAACCGGUCGUAGUCCGGAUCGCAGUCUGCAACUCGACUGCGUGAAGUCGGAAUCGCUAGUAAUCGCGAAUCAGAAUGUCGCGGUGAAUACGUUCCCGGGCCUU